GAUGAACGCUGGCGGCGUGCCUAAUACAUGCAAGUCGAGCGAACGGACGAGAAGCUUGCUUCUCUGAUGUUAGCGGCGGACGGGUGAGUAACACGUGGAUAACCUACCUAUAAGACUGGGAUAACUUCGGGAAACCGUAGCUAAUACCGGAUAAUAUUUUGAACCGCAUGGUUCAAAAGUGAAAGACGGUCUUGCUGUCACUUAUAGAUGGAUCCGCGCUGCAUUAGCUAGUUGGUAAGGUAACGGCUUACCAAGGCAACGAUGCAUAGCCGACCUGAGAGGGUGAUCGGCCACACUGGAACUGAGACACGGUCAAGACUCCUACGGGAGGCAGCAGUAGGGAAUCUUCCGCAAUGGGCGAAAGCCUGACGGAGCAACGCCGAGUGAGUGAUGAAGGUCUUCGGAUCGUAAAACUCUGUUAUUAGGGAAGAACAUAUGUGUAAGUAACUGUGCACAUCUUGACGGUACCUAAUCAGAAAGCCACGGCUAACUACGUG
rnacentral:rRNA from 1 species